UCAAGCUACUAAGGGUGCAUGGUGGAUGCUUUGGCGCCAGGAGGCGAGGAAGGACGUGGGGUAGCUGCGAUAAGCCCGGGUGAGGUGCUACCAACCGUUGACCCCGGGAUCUCCGAAUGGGGAAACCUGGCCAGGGUCAUGCCUGGUCAUCCGCGGGUGAAUCCAUAGCUCGCGGAAGCCGACGCGGGGAACUGACACAUCUCAGUACCCGCAGGAAAGGAAAGAAACCUCGACUGCGUGAGUAGCGGCGAGCGAAAGCGCAUGAGCCCAAACCCGCGGCGUGUAAGGCCGCAGCCGUUGCGUCGCGGGGGUUGUAAGACAGCCGUAGGGGGUCUGCGGAGCCCCCGCGGGAGUUACCAAACACGCGCAUAGCGGAACCGGACUGGAAAGCCGGCCAGAGAGGGUGAUAGCCCCGUACGCGAAAUGCGCGUGUCUCCCCGGCUGUUCUUGAGUAGCGCGGUCCUCGUGGAAGGCCGCGUGAAUCCGGGAGGCCCACCUCCCAAGGCUAAGUACUCCCUGGCGACCGAUAGCGUACGAGUAGGGCGACCGAAAAGUGAAAAGAACCCCUGGAGGGGAGUGAAAGAGGACCUGAAACCGUGCACCUACAAGCGGUGGGAGGGCUAUGAGCACCCUCGGGUGCCACGCCUGACCACGUGCCUUUUGCUUAAUGAGUCCGGGAGUUGGCGUCGCUGGCAAGGUUAAGCCCUUCAGGGGCGUAGCCGCAGGGAAACCGAGUGCGAAAUGCGCGUGCAGUCAGCGGUGCCAGACCCGAAAGCGGGUGAUCUACCCAUGGGCAGGCUGAACAGGAUGUAACAAUCCUGGGAGGGCCGAACGGGUGGAUGUUGAAAAAUCCUCCGAUGACCUGUGGGUAGGAGCAAAAGACUAAUCAAACUCGCAAAUAUCUGGUUCUCCUCGAAAUCGCUUUCGGGCGAGCCUCGCGUGAUAGCGGCCGGGGGUAGAGAGACUGAAUCGGACUGUGGGGGCCACAAGCCUACCCUUCCGAACCAAACUCCGAAUACCGGCCGCCGUAUCGCGGGCAGUCAGACUACGGGGGAUAAGCUCCGUGGUCGAGAGGGAAACAGCCCAGACCGCCGGCUAAGGCCCCGGAACCGUGCUAAGUGCGAAAGGAAGUGGAGCUGCGAAGACAGCCGGGAUGUUGGCUUAGAAGCAGCCAUCAUUUAAAAAGUGCGUAAUAGCUUACCGGUCGAGCAGCUCUGCGCCGAAAAUGAUCGGGACUCAAGCACGGUGCCGAAGCCGCGGGUGUCGGGGAGCAGCGUCUUCCCGGCGCGGUAGAGGAGCGUUCCACGCUAGGUCGAAGGCGGACCGCAAGGACCGCUGGACGAUGUGGAAGUGAUCAUCCGGACAUGAGUAGCGAUAAACAGGGUGAGAAGCCCUGUCGCCGAAAGCCUAAGGUUUCCUGGGCAAGGUAACUCCGCUCAGGGUCAGUCGGGACCUAAGGCGAGGCCGAAAGGCGUAGCCGAUGGACAACCGGUCAACAUUCCGGUACCACUGCAUGGGCGUUGAUGAUGGCGUGACGCGGGUAUGAAGGCCUACCGGCGGCUGGAAGUGCCGGGCCAAGCCCGAGGGUGGCUGACAGGCAAAUCCGUCAGCGCAAGCCCGGAGGUGACGGGGGGCCUCGCAAGAGGCGAACUGGCUGGAGUGCCCGCCGAGAAAACCGUCGGUUCGGAGUCCAUGCGGUGCCCGUACUAAAACCGACACAGGUAGGCGAGGCGAGUAGCCUCAGGCGCUCGAGAGAACCCGGGAGAAGGAACUCGGCAAAAUGGUUCCGUAACUUCGGGAGAAGGAUCGCCUCCUCGCGUGAAGGGCCUCGCGCCCAGAGCGUGGGGGGGCCGCAGAGAAUCGGCUCCUGCGACUGUUUAGCAAAAACACAGGUCUGUGCCAAGACCAAAAGUCGACGUAUACAGACUGACGCCUGCCCGAUGCCGGAAGGUUAAGGAGAGGGGUCAGCCCUUGCGGCGAAGCUCCAAACCGAAGCCCCGGUGAAUGGCGGCCGUAACUAUGACGGUCCUAAGGUGGAUACGCACGCCUUAGUAAAACUGGGCCAUAUGCGGGGAACUCCUCGAAAACCGCACGGUACUCGUUCCGGCCUCCGGCCGGUUCAGUCACAAUCCGGCGGACAUGGGGACGAUCCGCAGGGAAGGCCCGCCUGCAUGGCGGGAACCCUCAGAGACUUGACGCCCAGGACCGGCCGAUGAAGCUCGACGCGCAAUGGGUGGUUGGAUUCGUGGAUGGCGAGGGCUGCUUUCACGUCGGGAUCGCAGCGCAUCCCGGCAUGAAGGCAGGCUAUCAGGUCCUGCCUGAGUUCGCCGUCGUCCAGCACAGGCGCGAUGUUCAGCUGCUGCAUGCCUUGAAGCGGUUCUUCGGUUGUGGCGUGGUUCGUAGCAACCACGGUGACCGCAUGGCCUACCGCGUGCGGAGGCAUGAGCAUCUCGCCGAGCGCAUCUGCCCGUUCUUCGUCAAGCAUCCCCUCAAGUCCAAGAAACGCGCGGACUUCGCGAAGUUUCGCCGCGUGGUCUUGAAGAUGGCGCGAGGGGAGCACCUCACCCCGGAAGGGGUCGAGGAGAUCCGCCGCAUCGCACGACAGAUGAACCGCGGAUCCGGUCGGUCAAGAUAAAGUCCGGCCCUCUCGGAAACGGGAUGGGAAUCACCGAGCGAAAUUCCUUGUCGGGUAAGUUCCGACCCGCAUGAAUGGCGUAACGACAGGAGCGCUGUCUCCUCCCGGGACUCGGCGAAAUUGGCGAGCGCGGUGAAGAUGACCGCGUACCCGCAGCAGGACGGAAAGACCCCGUGAACCUUUACUGCAGCUUCUACAUUGGUCUUGAGCUCGCUGUGUAGGAUAGGUGGGAGGCUGCGAAGAGCGGGCGCCAGCUCGGCGGAGCCAUCCUUGAAAUACCACCCUGCAUGUCUGGAUUCUAACCUCGAGCCGUAAGCCGGGCGAGGGACCGUGUAGGUGGGCAGUUUGACUGGGGCGGUCUCCUCCUAAAGCGUAACGGAGGAGCGCAAGGUCACCUCAGCGCGGUCGGAAUCGCGCGUUGAGUGCAAAGGCAGAAGGGUGCUUGACUGCAGAGACGACAGUCGAGCAGGUGCGAAAGCAGGCCUUAGUGAUCCGGCGGUAGCGUAUGGAAGGGCCGUCGCUCAACGGAUAAAAGGUACUCCGGGGAUAACAGGCUGAUCGCGCCCAAGAGUUCAUAUCGACGGCGCGGUUUGGCACCUCGAUGUCGGCUCAUCGCAUCCUGGGGCUGAAGGAGGUCCCAAGGGUUCGGCUGUUCGCCGAUUAAAGCGGUACGUGAGCUGGGUUCAGACCGGCGUGAGCCAGGUCGGUCCCUAUCCGCUGCGGGCGCAGGACGACUUGAGGGAGUUUGACCUUAGUACGAGAGGACUGGGUCGGACGGACCUCUGGUGUGCCGAGUUGGCCCGCCAGGGCCACUGCUCGGGUAGCUAUGUCCGGAACGGAUAACCGCUGAAGGCAUCUAAGCGUGAAGCCCGUCCCAAGAUGAGUCGUCCCCAUCAGGCUCCUGGAAGACUACCAGGUAGAUAGGCGGGGUGUGGAAGUGCGGUAACGCAUUGAGCUAACCCGUACUAAAGAGCCGAUCGGCUUGGC
rnacentral:rRNA from 1 species